GCAGGCUUGGGACCAAAGCCCGGAUCCUUCACUGUGUGACCUUGACUGAGUCACUUCCCUCCUCUGAGCUCAGUUCCUCCUCUGUGAAGUCAUCUCCUCAAAGAGGCCUUCCCUGGCCCACCUCCUGCCCUUCAUUUCUUCCAUACCUCUGACCACAGCCACGGUUCUCUUGUUUGUUCCUUUUUUUUUUGUCUGUCUCUUCCCUCCAGAAUAUGCAUUCCAGGAGAGCAGGGAUAUUUGUUUUGUUCCCCGACGUAUCCCCAGGAUCUGGCACAGGACUGGCAGAUUUUCUUCUUGUAAUGCACGAUGUCCACCAGCUGCUACAAACUCGUCCUUACAGCUCACACUCUCAAGAGAAAAAUUUCUAGAGGGCACUAGAAAAAGUCCCAGCUGCAGGCUGGACACAGUGCUUCCUCCAUCCGGGCCUUUGUCAUGCUCUUCCCCUGCUGCAGUGCUGUCAGCUGCCUGGUCCAUCAAUAUUCACUCUUCAAAGUCUAGCUCCGCUGGAUAAGCCACUUCAUGACAGUCAGAAUCUGAUGUGGAAUGAUGAAAACACCGUAGCACUGUGCUCCUUCCAACUGCCAGGACCUGCAGCGCUGGGCCCGAGGGUGUCUGGGGAGGCUGCACUGCCGCAAAGGCCUGGGAGUUAACACCUCUCUCCCCAGACCAUGCACAGAUACCUUGAAAUUGACCUCAAUCCAUGAGCAACAAGAACUGGUGCAUGAUAAUCCAGCUCCCACACUCAUGGGUCGGAGAGCUCUAAGGUGUGUGGUUUGCAGUUUCCCAGAGGCUCCCUGUGGGAUUAAGCUCCAGAUGGCCAAGGUGACCACUUGCUUGUUAACACACUGGCCUCCUCCUUUUCCUUGUUUCACUUCCUCAUUUCCCUCUAGGUUUCCCUAGGAUCACCAGCUGUCAUGGACUGAUUUAUGUCUCUCCAAAUUCAUAUGUUGAAGCCUUAACCUCCCAUGUGAUUGUGUUUGGAGAUAAUUACUUUAGGGAAGCAAUGAAGGUUAAAUGAGGUCAUAAGUGGGAGCUUAAUCCAAUGGGACUGGGGUCCCUACAAGAAGAGGAAGACACUAGAGCUCUCUGCCUCCACACACAGAGAAAAGAGGCUGUAUGAAGACACAAGAGAAGGUAACAGCUGUCUACAAACCAAGAAGAGAAGCCUCUCCAGAAAAUGAACCCCGCUGGAACUUGAUCUUGGACUUUCCAGCCUCCAGAACUGGGAGAAAAUAAAGUUCUGUGUGUGAGCCCCCCAGUCCGUGGUAUUUUGUUAUGGCAGCCCUAGCAGACUAAUAACACUUGCCAAUUAAACUACUCGUUCUCCGAUUGUUGUCUCAGGGUCUGCUCCUAGGGAACCUGGACUAAGACAGAUGCUCUGCUUCUUUAGGCCCUAGGGAAAUGCAAAUGAAAACCACACAUGAUGCCAUGUCACAGGUACUAGGAUAACCGGAAGGAAAUCUGACCACAUCGGAUGCUGGUGAAGUUGGGAAGCCGUCAUGUACAGCUGAUGGAGCACCACACCCCAAGCUGACUCUCUGCACAGCCCGGGGCUGCAGCUGGGCUGGCCUCCCUCCUGCCAGCACUCCUCAGGAUUGCGCCGGACCUCCACUGAGGUGCUUCAGACCCUAACCAAGUUCCCUGUCCUCUCUGAGACGGGGCCCUUUUGGACCAAGGUUUUCUUGGCUGCUCAGGCACCCAUAGUCUCUGCACCUGCUGCUGCUCUGUAUUGGGUUGGGGUCACUGGAAACAGACCAGAACUAGAAUUUGAGGGCAAGGAGUUCAUUUGAGAGGUGAUUCCAGGAAGCCACGAGGGAUGUGGGAAGUGAGACAGGGAAAGAAGCCAGUACAGGCAAAUUCAUGAGCAGCUGGCAGGCAACCGGGGCCCUGCCCUCUUGGGACGUCUGGGAGACAGGAGACAGUGCAGAGCAAGGCUCAGAGCUGUCCAUUCUGGGGAGGGAGGAAGCUGGGGCAUUUAUCCACCAACCCAGAUCAUUUAUCCAUCACCAAGGGCGGUUCGUGAGCCCACGAACUCUGACCUCUGAGAGCUUUCAACAGUCCCUAGGGCAGAAUCACAGAUACCUGCUUAGUGCCAAGGGGAUGUGGGUGAGGCUCUGUAAAGGAGAGGGAGAGCCUGCAGCAGAGAGAACCUGAAGAAGGCCUUGGAGAGCUUGAAUCUCAGGCAGCUGCUGACUCAUCUUCUCUGAGGGUCAGUUUCUAGAAAAUGGGAGUGAAAUACUGCUUUCCUGCAGGUGUCAGGUGAGAACCAAAAGCGAUAAGGCCUGUAAACAGCCUGGGUGCUGCCUGCACGGGAGGAGGUUGAUAAAUGAUACUCUGUCUGCCCUCCUCCGGGGCAAGGGCCAGGCUGACUCACCCGGUCUGGGGGCACCCAGUGACCUGCUGUUUGUACCAAACAUUGCCUCCCACAGAGUCCUCACCCUCCCUUCUUUUCCCUCUUUAUCUCUCAUUUUAAAAAAUCUAAUAGUGACUGCUAUCUAAGGCUUGCCAGGCUGGAGUGGGCUGUGGAGACCCAGGAGUGCCCUGAGCCUGUCCUUGCCCUCGAGAGUUCACAGUCCAGUUGGGAAGUUAGACGAGUAUGUGGCCAGCUGGUGACAUGGGUGUGGGCUUGACAGGUGAGUAGAUGUGUGGUAGGGGCAAGGAGGCAGUGAAGGCAGGGGCGGGGUGGGUAGAGAUGGUUCCGGGGACAGAGGGAGGUGAGCAGAGGAAGUGGGCAGAUGGUGGCUCUUGUGUUUUGAGCCCCCGUGCAACGGAAAUCCCAGAUACUACAGGUGAGGCAGCAGCCAAGCCUGGCCCAGUUGCUACCAGAGCAGGGCUGGCCUGCAGCCUCCUGAUUCCCAGCCAGGUUUGCCUGAUACAUCCCUCUCCCACCCUCCCUUGGGCCACAGGAGGUGAGGAUGGAGCUAGGGGCUGGGCAACCCAGGAAACUGAGGCCGGGCUUUCUGCCCUGGCUCCUCCCUCCUCUUCCCUGCCUAACCCCUGCAUGAGCCUAUCCAGCACGGUUCUCCCAGAUGCCCUGGAGAUUGGGGUGGGAAAUCCUCCACUUUCAUGCUUUUUAUUCAAAUGCCAUCUGAAUUUUGCGUCUAUGAUACAGAGAUGUUUGUUUUUAAAAGAAAUAACAGUUAUAAUGCCUUACUAAUUACUAA